rnacentral:rRNA from 1 species
GUCUAUGGCCAUACCUCACUGAACACACCCUGUCUCACCUGAACUUGGAAGCUGAGCAGGGCCUGGUUAAACUUGGAAGGAGAACAGUUUGGGUUUAUAGAAA